rnacentral:rRNA from 1 species
AUUGAACGCUGGCGGCAGGCCUAACACAUGCAAGUCGAGCGGAUGAAGGGAGCUUGCUCCUGGAUUCAGCGGCGGACGGGUGAGUAAUGCCUAGGAAUCUGCCUGGUAGUGGGGGAUAACGUCCGGAAACGGGCGCUAAUACCGCAUACGUCAUGAGGGAGAAAGUGGGGGAUCUUCGGACCUCACGCUAUCAGAUGAGCCUAGGUCGGAUUAGCUAGUUGGUGGGGUAAAGGCCUACCAAGGCGACGAUCCGUAACUGGUCUGAGAGGAUGAUCAGUCACACUGGAACUGAGACACGGUCCAGACUCCUACGGGAGGCAGCAGUGGGGAAUAUUGGACAAUGGGCGAAAGCCUGAUCCAGCCAUGCCGCGUGUGUGAAGAAGGUCUUCGGAUUGUAAAGCACUUUAAGUUGGGAGGAAGGGCAGUAAGUUAAUACCUUGCUGUUUUGACGUUACCAACAGAAUAAGCACCGGCUAACUUCGUG